rnacentral:rRNA from 1 species
GAUCCUGGCUCAGAUUGAACGCUGGCGGCAGGCCUAACACAUGCAAGUCGAACGGUAACAGGAAGAAGCUUGCUUCUUUGCUGACGAGUGGCGGACGGGUGAGUAAUGUCUGGGAAACUGCCUGAUGGAGGGGGAUAACUACUGGAAACGGUAGCUAAUACCGCAUAACGUCGCAAGACCAAAGAGGGGGACCUUCGGGCCUCUUGCCAUCGGAUGUGCCCAGAUGGGAUUAGCUAGUAGGUGGGGUAACGGCUCACCUAGGCGACGAUCCCUAGCUGGUCUGAGAGGAUGACCAGCCACACUGGAACUGAGACACGGUCCAGACUCCUACGGGAGGCAGCAGUGGG